rnacentral:misc_RNA from 1 species
CCUCGUUCACAGAACACAUGGGGAGAUUUUGAUCAUAUCUUUGAAGGAUAUAAUGACCAGCAAAAAGCUGCUAUACAGAGAGAGAGGGCAAGAAGGAUAGAAGAACAAAAGAAAAUGUUUGCUGCAAACAAGCUCUGCCUUGUGUUGGAUCUUGAUCAUACACUUCUUAAUUCUGCCAAGUUUGUUGAAAUUGAUCCUGUGCAUGAUGAGAUCUUGCGAAAGAAGGAAGAACAAGAUCAUGAAAAACCACAGAGACAUCUAUUCCGCUUCCCUCAUAUGGGAAUGUGGACAAAAUUGCGUCCUGGGAUAUGGAAUUUCUUGGAAAAGGCUAGUAAACUGUAUGAGCUGCAUCUUUACACAAUGGGGAACAAGUUGUAUGCCACAGAAAUGGCAAAAGUUCUGGAUCCUACGGGGGUUUUGUUUAAUGGACGAGUUAUUUCCAAGGGUGAUGAUGGGGAUCCUUUUGAUGGUGAUGAGAGGGUUCCCAAGAGUAAGGAUCUUGAGGGGGUCUUGGGUAUGGAGUCUGCUGUUGUCAUUAUAGAUGAUUCUGUGAGAGUCUGGCCACA